rnacentral:rRNA from 1 species
AUUGAACGCUGGCGGCAGGCCUAACACAUGCAAGUCGAGCGGAUGAAGGGAGCUUGCUCCUGGAUUCAGCGGCGGACGGGUGAGUAAUGCCUAGGAAUCUGCCUGGUAGUGGUGGAUAACGUCCGGAAACGGGCGCUAAUACCGCAUACGUCCUGAGGGAGGUAGUGGGGGAUCUUCGGACCUCACGCUAUCAGAUGAGCCUAGGUCGGAUUAGCUAGUUGGUUGGGUAAAGGCCUACCAAGGCGACGAUCGGUAACUGGUCUGAGAGGAUGAUCAGUCACAUUGGAGGUGGGACAGGGACCAUACGACUACGGGACGGAGCAGUGUGGAACGGUAGACAAUGGGGGAGAACAUGGUACAGCGGGGGCGAGCGUGUGGCGACGGCCUCCGGAUUGGGAAGACGGCUAAGGUGUGGUGAAGGGCAGUCAGUUGAGACGUAGCGGUAUUGACGUUACCAGGAGAAGAAGCACCGGCUAACUACGUG